ACAUGCCUACAACAUAGAGUUAAUUCAUCAGAUCCCAUUAGAACUUCGUAGUUAAGAGUUCUCGGGAUAGAGUAGUACUGGGAUGGGUGACCACCCGAGAAGUCAUGUUGUUUUACAUGCC
rnacentral:rRNA from 1 species